AGGCGUGUGGUGUAGUUUGGGAACAUCCCGGGCUCUCAUUAUCUGGCACCCGGAGUCGUCGGUUCGACCCCGACCAUGCCUA